rnacentral:rRNA from 1 species
UACAGAGGGUGCAAGCGUUAAUCGGAAUUACUGGGCGUAAAGCGUGCGUAGACGGUCAUGUAAGUCGGGUGUGAAAGCCCCGGGCUCAACCUGGGAAUUGCAUUCGAGACUGCAUGGCUAGGGUGCGGAAGAGGGAAGUGGAAUUUCCGGUGUAGCGGUGAAAUGCGUAGAUAUCGGAAGGAACACCAGUGGCGAAAGCGACUUCCUGGUCCAGCACCGACGUUCAGGCACGAAAGCGUGGGGAGCAAACAGG